rnacentral:rRNA from 1 species
UACGUAGGGCGCAAGCGUUAUCCGGAAUUAUUGGGCGUAAAGAGCUCGGUAGGCGUUUGUCGCGUCUGCCGUGAAAGUCCGGGGCUCAACUCCGGAUCUGCGGUGGGUACGGGCAGACUAGAGUGAUGUAGGGGGAGACUGGAAUUCCUGGUGUAGCGGUGAAAUGCGCAGAUAUCAGGAGGAACACCGAUGGCGAAGGCAGGUCUCUGGGCAUUAACUGACGCUGAGGAGCUGAAAGCAUGGGGAGCGAACAGGG